GGCAGAGAGGCUUAAUGGAAAGAGCCCAGGUUUGGGAAUCAAAAGGUCAUGGGUUCUAAUCCCGGCUCUGCCA
rnacentral:tRNA from 1 species